GUGCCUAUAGCUCAACCGGCAGAGCGCUGGUCUGUGGAACCAGAGGUUGCGGGUUCAAGCCCCGUUAGGCACCCCA
rnacentral:tRNA from 2 species